rnacentral:tRNA from 1 species
GCCCGCGUGGUGAAAUGGUAGACACAGGAGACUUAAAAUCUCUAGGCCGAACGGCCGUGCCGGUUCAAGUCCGGCCGCGGGCACCA